GACGAACGCUGUUGGCGUGCCUAACACAUGCAAGUCGAGCGAAGUGAGUACUACGGUACGAACUUAGCGGCGGACGGGUGAGUAACGCGUGGACAAUCUACCCUGUAGACUGGGAUAACACCUCGAAAGGGGUGCUAAUACCGGAGAAUGUCGAGAAGCGGCAUCGCUUUUCGAAGAAAGGAGAGAAUCCGCUAUAGGAGGAGUCCGCGUCCCAUUAGCUAGUUGGCGAGGGUAACGGCCCACCAAGGCGACGAUGGGUAGCCGGCCUGAGAGGGUGAACGGCCACACUGGAACUGAGACACGGUCCAGACUCCUACGGGAGGCAGCAGUGGGGAAUAUUGUACAGUGGGGGAAACCCUGACACAGCAACGCCGCGUGAGCGAAGAAGGCCUUCGGGUUGUAAAGCUCAAUAGUAUGGGAAGAUAAUGACGGUACCAUACGAAAGCCCCGGCUAACUACGUGCCAGCCGCCGCCGUAACAC
rnacentral:rRNA from 1 species